rnacentral:rRNA from 1 species
CUGGUUGAUCCUGCCAGACCCGACUGCUAUCGGAUUGGGACUAAGCCAUGCGAGUCAACUCCGCAAGGGGUGGCGCACGGCUCAGUAACACGUAGUCAACCUACCCUGGGGACGGGGAUAACCUCGGGAAACUGAGGCUAAACCCCGAUGGGCCAUGGCUCCUGGAAUGGGCUAUGGCUGAAAUCUACAUGGCCCCAGGAUGGGACUGCGGCCGAUCAGGUUGUUGGUGGGGUAAUGGCCCACCAAGCCUAUAACCGGUGCGGGCUCUGAGAGGAGGAGCCCGGAGAUAGGCACUGAGACAAGGGCCCAGGUCCUAUGGGGCGCAGCAGGCGCGAAACCUCCGCAAUGGGCGAAAGCCCGACGGGGUCAGUCCGAGUGGUUCCCGCUGAGGGAACCUUUUGCCAGCUGUAAACAGGCUGGCGAAUAAGGGGUGGGCAAGUUUGGUGUCAGCCGCCGCGGUAAUACCAGCACCCCGAGUGGUCGGGACGAUUAUUGGGCCUAAAGCAUCCGUAGCCGGCCCAGUAAGUCCUCCGUUAAAUCCAACGGCUCAACCGUUGGGCUGCGGGGGAUACUGCUGGGCUAGGGGACGGGAGAGGCGAGGGGUAUUCCCGGGGUAGGGGUAAAAUCCACUGAUCCCGGGAGGACCACCAGUGGCGAAGGCGCCUCGCUAGAACGUGCCCGACGGUGAGGGAUGAAAGCUGGGGGAGCGAACCGGAUUAGAUACCCGGGUAGUCCCAGCCGUAAACGAUGUAGGCUCGGUGUUGGGCUGCCUCAGUGGCAGCCCAGUGCCGCAGGGAAGCUGUUAAGCCUACCGCCUGGGGAGUACGGACGCAAGGCUGAAACUUAAAGGAAUUGGCGGGGGAGCACCAC